AUAAGGAGGUUAGAGGGAGACUGUGUGACAGGUGACCUUUGCUCUGUGUGACAGGUGAACUUUGCUCUGUGUGGAGGAGAUUAGAGGGAGACUGUGUGACAGGUGCACUUUGCUCUGUGUGAAGGAGAUUAGAGGGAGACUGUGUGACAGGUGCACUUUGCUCUGUGUGGAGGAGAUUAGAGGGAGACUGUGUGACAGGUGAACUUUGCUCUGUGUGGAGGAGAUUAGAGGGAGACUGUGUGACAGGUGCACUUUGCUCUGUGUGGAGGAGAUUAGAGGGAGACUGUGUGACAGGUGCACUUUGCUCUGUGUGAAGGAGAUUAGAGGGAGACUGUGUGACAGGUGCACUUUGCUCUGUGUGGAGGAGAUUAGAGGGAGACUGUGUGACAGGUGCACUUUGCUCUGUGUGGAGGAGAUUAGAGGGAGACUGUGUGACAGGUGAACUUUGCUCUGUGUGGAGGAGAUUAGAGGGAGACUGUGUGACAGGUGCACUUUGCUCUGUGUGGAGGAGAUUAGAGGGAGACUGUGUGACAGGUGCACUUUGCUCUGUGUGGAGGAGAUUAGAGGGAGACUGUGUGACAGGUGCACUUUGCUCUGUGUGAAGGAGGUAAACUUUGCUCUGUGUGGAGGAGAUUAGAGGGAGACUGUGUGAGAGGUGAACUUUGCUCUGUGUGAAGGAGGUAAACUUUGCUCUGUGUGGAGGAGAUUAGAGGGAGACUGUGUGAGAGGUGAAAAGCGAAGCAGGGAGGGAUGGUGAAUGAUUGACAGAGAGAGCAGAGGGGCAGAUUCAUUACGGAAACAGUUUAACGUUUAAGAACUAAUUGGAAGAACACAGAGCACAAUGAGAGUUUCUACUGGGAUAAACUCAAAAAAAUAUAUUAAACGAGACGGCAAAAAAAGUAUGACGUAAGAUGUGAUCCUGGUUUUCCAACUGAUUAAAAGCUGCAAUAUUAUCUUCUGAUUCAAAAUGUUUUUUCUGAUUCCUUUCUUUCCUCAAAAGGUACUGAACAGACUCUGCCCUUGGAAGGGAGAGGAGGG